rnacentral:rRNA from 1 species
UACAGAGGGUGCGAGCGUUUAAUCGGAAUUACUGGGCGUAAAGCGUGCGUAGACGGUUUUGUAAGUCGGAUGUGAAAUCCCCGGGCUCAACCUGGGAAUUGCAUUCGAGACUGCAAGGCUUGGGUGCGGAAGAGGGAAGCGGAAUUUCCGGUGUAGCGGUGAAAUGCGUAGAUAUCGGAAGGAACAUCAGUGGCGAAAGCGGCUUCCUGGUCCAGCACCGACGUUCAGGCACGAAAGCGUGGGGAGCAAACAGG